UGAAGGUAUUGGCAUUACCUCCGGGACGGCGGUCCGACAAAGCACUUGCAAGAUUUGCUAAGACUAGCAUUGCUCGUGUACGUUCAUUGGUCGCGAUCCUUGGUUGCCCUUCUUUCGUGGACACAAUGCCUAGCGGCUCGAGAUCAAACUUGGCUUAUGGAGAGAGCACGAGCGGUCAGAACGUCGAGCUUUAGGAUGAUAUUGAUGAGGAUCCAGUGGAUGUGCCUGAGGAGGAACUCGAGGCUGAGGUGGAUGACUUCUUGGGAUGGGCUGAAUAUGCGAUGGAGAGGGAGGUGGAUGGACAAGAUCAUGACGAGAUAAGAACUUCUCAUAUAGAAGAUGCUCCAGAGCCGACUCGGCCUACUCGGCCUCGCGACUUUGGUCUCAA